AUUGAACGCUGGCGGCAGGCCUAACACAUGCAAGUCGAGCGGAUGAAGGGAGCUUGCUCCUGGAUUCAGCGGCGGACGGGUGAGUAAUGCCUAGGAAUCUGCCUGGUAGUGGGGGAUAACGUCCGGAAACGGGCGCUAAUACCGCAUACGUCCUGAGGGAGAAAGUGGGGGAUCCUCGGACCUCACGCUAUCAGAUGAGCCUAGGUCGGAUUAGCUAGUUGGUGGGGUAAAGGCCUACCAAGGCGACGAUCCGUAACUGGUCUGAGAGGAUGAUCAGUCACACUGGAACUGUGACACGGUCCAGACUCCUACGGGAGGCAGCAGUGGGGAAUAUUGGACAAUGGGCGAAAGCCUGAUCCAGCCAUGCCGCGUGUGUGAAGAAGGUCUUCGGAUUGUAAAGCACUUUAAGUUGGGAGGAAGGGCAGUAAGUUAAUACCUUGCUGUUUUGACGUUACCAACAGAAUAAGCACCGGCUAACUUCGUG
rnacentral:rRNA from 1 species